rnacentral:rRNA from 1 species
GGAGUAACGCGUGGGUAACCUGCCCUAUACACAUGGAUAACAUACUGAAAAGUUUACUAAUACAUGAUAAUAUAUAUUUACGGCAUCGUAGAUAUAUCAAAGUGUUAGCGGUAUAGGAUGGACCCGCGUCUGAUUAGCUAGUUGGUGAGAUAACUGCCCACCAAGGCGACGAUCAGUAGCCGACCUGAGAGGGUGAUCGGCCACAUUGGAACUGAGACACGGUCCAAACUCCUACGGGAGGCAGCAGUU